AAAAUAAAAACAGAACACAGAAACUUACCGACAGUCACACAUAAACACAGAGAUAUUGAAACAGGAACUCCAACUACCAACCGUCCGAUUUCUCCCUCUUUUUUUUUUUUGUGGCAUUUCGUUCUCCUCCAAUGGCUUUCAGCACCUCAACUCACUCUUUCUUCAACUUCAAACUCUCCAGCAAAACUGCACCACCACUUCAUCAGCCAAAGAAGAAACCAGUGACCCUUCUCCUCAAUCCCCGUUUUGUCCCGCCCCUUCUCUCAUCUUGUAACCAAUGCUUCAGGGCCAACUCUGUCACUUUCUCAAACCCUUCUACCCCCAGGCAUGGAUUCAGUGUCAAGGCAUACAAACUGAACAAACCCUUUUCAGAUUUUUGCUUCUCUUUGCGUUUUUUGAGUAGUGGAAUUGAUUUUAAUUUUUUUAUGCAAUUUUUCGUUGGGUUUUUUUGUUUGUAGGUUGGAUCACAGCCAGAUUAUUCUUCAGGGGAUGAUGGUGCUCAAUCGUUUAUUCCUGAAGCAACCCAACAGGAGGAAUUUUCUUGGAAGUCUGUGAUUCUUCCGUACGUCUCUCGAUCAAAUUUUCUAUAGCUCUGUGUGUUUUUCUUAUGCUUUGAGUAAUGUAAAUGGGUAAUCUUGUUUUAGCUUCUUUGUUUUUCUGAUGAAACGAUAUUGUAAACUAUUCCAGUUACGGGUCGAACUUGGGUGCAAGGGGUUGAGGACACUUGCCCUCGCCAACUGACCACAUAUGCGAUCUUUUUUAGCUUUAAUUCUUCAUAGUUGAUAAUUAUGCAAUGGGGUUUGCAUUUCGAUUUUGUAAAGCCACAUUGUAUGGCAGAAGUUGGGUUUUUUUAGUACAUGUUUUGAGGACCUGAAUUGGGCCUUAAUCAAGCAUAUGAAAAGUUGAGUGCUUUUCAAAGUGUAGAUCAAUCAAUGAAUAGUGGUUAAAUUGCAAGUUUCGAAGUUUACUUUUGAAAAUCUCUCUUUUGUUGGUAAUUUUAUUUUUUAUAACUAAGCUCUUGGAAUUUUAGCUUUGUGUUUCCGGCUUUGGGAGGUUUGUUGUUCGGAUACGACAUUGGUGCUACUUCUAGUGCUACCCUCUCUUUACAGGUAUACCUUCAGCUUUAUGUUUUUCGUUUUUUGUUUUGAUGAUUAGUAAUUUAAUAUGAUCAACUUUUAUGUUUUGAUUUGUCACAGUCGCCAGAGCUUAGUGGCACAGCUUGGUUUAAACUUUCAGCCAUCCAGCUUGGUCUUGUGGUAUGAUUUAUCGAAUCUUAGUCAAUUUGGUUUUGAGUCAUUUCCAAACUUGUGAUCUAUCUGCCAAAAAUCACCAACAAUACAUCAACAAUCCUAAAUUGCAUUGUUUCGAUGCGGGUUAGCGGUUCCCUAUAUGGAGCUCUUUUUGGUUCCCUCCUUGUGUACCCAAUUGCUGAUUUCCUUGGUGUGUACUCUGCUUUGCUUUUGCACUUCAUCAUGAGGUUUUGAGCUUGAUCAUUAUUUUUGUUAGUCUUAAAUUUUAAUUGGCUUAUGAAGGGAGGAGGAGGGAAAAUGGGGGAGAGGGGUACAAUUUAUUUAAUUUGAGCAAAAUAGUAGCAUUUAAGCUUAUUUGAUUAGUGAGGAUUAGAGUCAAUAAGGCGUCCUCUAUUUAUCUAUAUCUGAAAUCUGAAUUCAUUGAAUGAUGAAUGAGGUUGUAGUGAGAGAAAUUGAGAAAGUCAAGAAAAGACGGUCCAUACAGUAUGUUGUAUGUUUCGGGAUAUCUCAACAUCUUAAUUUCUGCUCUCAGGUUGCUGAAAGUUUGUCAUUUUACUUGCUACUUGAUUAUAAAAAUGUAAAACAAAAUCUGUUAGACGUUUUUCCAGGGUAAGGCAUAUGUUGCACAUGCAUGUAAAUGGUACAAAUUGUUUUGGUUUUAGACAAUAAGCUUUUGAGUUUUACAACCCUUGCAAGGGGAUUGUGAGUCCAACAAAUUUAGUGUUGGGGGAUACAGUUUGGUUCUCCUUAAUACAUAAUAUAACAAAGGCCUUGAAAUUUUCCUUCAAGGAAUAUGCAAAUGUUUUAUGCGCAUCUUGGCCUGCAGUUUGUAUGAAGGGGCAUUAGUGCAAGUUAUAUGCAUUGGUGCAUUUGAGGGUGUGAUUCCGUUCUUACCGCCUUUUUAGGUUUGAACAUAUGUGCUUGACAACUUAGCUACUCGAACAAGAACGGAACACUGUAGCUUAGCUAUAGUCAAAUCUUUGCCACUCAAUUUCACGCUAUUUACAACAAUGCCAGCCAAAUGGGGCUGGGUUGGGAGGGUAAUUCUCAAAAGUUUAGAGGGUAAUUUUGUUUGUAUGGUUUAGAACGGAUUGCAAUGGGUUAGGUGCGUGCGCUCUCCUCUCAUCUCUCACUCUUCCUGUUUCUGGAAAACCCACAAUCUUUCAUCUUCCUCUGCUUUUCCUCUCUCUGCGCUCCCCAUAUCUCUCCACAUGAAGCACACAAACCAAGUAGUGACGGUCGAAAGCCUCAAACAUGGCCGAGGCGAAACGGAGGUAUAGUGACGGUCGACAACCGCCUCCAGUGUCGAUGAAUUAGGCCGUCCGAAAGCAUCCUCGCUCCGAUUAUGGUAUGUUGAAUUUCUAGAUUUACCCUUUAUUUGAGUCUCCUCUCUCCUUUUGCGUUUGUUUAGGGUUUAUAAAUUAGGGUUCUUAGGGAUUUCACGCUUUUUUUUCCUUUAGAAAUUGCACUAUAUUUCUCAGAUUGGAGCUGUUCUUAUUUUGAAAAAAUUGGACUAAUGUUUCUUUUAGCUUUCGUCUAUCUGGUAAUUACUCUGAACCCCCAAAAGAUUUGAAAUUUCUGGUAAUUGUUCUCAUUGUUUUUGACAAUUUGUUGUUAGAAUUUGUAUAAAUUGCUGCCAUUGUGUUGUGAAGUUUUAUGAUUAUUUCAAAGAACACCGAUUCUAUCAAUUGCAAUUCUGCAGAUGGCUAAUGAAAUAAUGGUCUGUGAAAGGAAGGAAAAAAAAAGCCUAGAAAACAUUAUCGGAUGAUGUUUUAAUCAAUUGAGAAAACUGUAAUUACUCACAUUUUAACAAAUUAAGGUUUCUUAUUUCACUUCUUUGCAGGAAGUUAUUAAUUCUGCAUCACCGGUGACUCAAAACUUAAGCAGAGAAGUGGCUGACGGUCAACAUAAGCUCAUAGCUCUUGCAGCUGCACGAGGAAACUCAAGUGCAGUAAAUCCUCUGGUACCUUUGGGUGGUCUUCAUGAGAAGGUUUGUUCGAUCUUAAAUAUGUGGAAUAUGUGGAUAUGUAGAUCCGAAUGUUCAAUUUUAUCAAAUGAGUGUUGGUUGGUUGGCUAUCUUAAUCAUGAAAAGCAAUUUAUUUUUGUUGAGCAAACAUUAUGCAUGGACUCGGAACUUCUUCCUUUGAAUUGUAGUUGGAAGUAUGAUAAAUUUAGUGGGAUUUGAGCAUAAGCCGGUUGCCAGCCCAAUACAACUGAUCGCAUCCCGCAAGAUUAAUUUAUCCACAUUGGAGAAUUUCUUAUUAUACAAUUCUACUGCAUUUUUUUUUCAAAUUUAAAUAUAAAUUUUAAAAUUUUGGUUUUGAUUAUGCAGUUUGUGGAUUCCGUGCUGCUGCGGUAUAUUUAAAUGCUGCUGUCCUCCACUGUUUGAGCAUGGGCCUCCUCCACCACCAUAGUGGUAUAUUUUCUUAGGAGCCUACUUUGCAUGAAUUAUUUUGUGUAAUUGGUUGACUUAAAUCUUUAUUUGAUCUACCUAUUCCAAUUUGGCUAAUUUUUUUUAAAUUUUUUAUUAUAUUGGAGUUGAAUUUGGUAUUUUGGGUAUGCUAUCUUUGGAUGCUUAGAAAGAUAGUAAUUUACUUUUUGUCUUUGAUUUUUCACUAAUGGGAUGUUGUGAUGGGGUUUAGUAAUUUUCAGUAUUCUUCAAUUAUUUUGAAUUUGCAAAAUCAAAUAACCCGUGGAAAUAAAUUAAUAUUUCAUUAAUCUGUAUGUAAGAGGACUUUACAAUAUGUCAUCAAGUUUAGACCGACAACAAUGAAUGGCAAACUUAGGAUGCCUCUAUUAAUUUGAUGUUUUCUCAUGGUUGAGAAAUAUUUACAGCUGUCUUAUUUAUUGGACAACAUCAUUCAUCCUCUAUAUUUAAUAUUAAUUGCUUUUCUUAAUCUAUUUUUCCGCCAAUCUUUUCUGCUACAUAAUCUCAUUUGGUUUUCGAUUUUGUGAAAUGUUUUGGAAGCGGAGUGUGUGAAAUUUGUUGAUGCUGAUGCUGAUGAUAGUGCCGAAUUUGGUGACACUCCUCAACUAGCAGAGCAGGUAACAAAGCUUCUUCCAACUCAAAUUUAAUGAUUCGAGCUGCCUAAGAUUUGCAUAACAUUCCCAAGUUGUAGUCAAUGUGCCUGAGUGGUUGAGCGCUUAACUAAUGAAUGUAACCACUAAGAUUUGGAUUGUUUUUGGGGAGUAAGAAAUAACAUUGCUAAUUUCGGAUUUAUGGGUUUGAAUUUUUAGUUCAUUUUGCUUAUCAGUUUAUCUUACUUCUUUGAACCAAAUGCAAAUUCCAAUCUUGCAUUGUUAAGCCCUGAAAUUAGAACAAAAAAACUUGCAUGAAAUUGAAGUUCUCUUAUUGAGAACUCAAUUUUCUUCUACUUGAAGUUUUAUCUGAUUGAUUUCUGAAUAAUUUAGAAAUGGGUAUGUUAAAUUGUGGGUUAUGAUUUCAAAACCCGCGGCGGAGCACGGGCAUUUUUUCUAGUAUGAAACCUAUUUUGCACAACCAUUAACAAAUUGUUUGCACCAUUACGCGAUCUCCAUUAGAAAAGCCACAAGUUUCUCAACCAAGGAAAUUGGCAUCAUGAUAUCCAAAGGGUGCAAAUUAGCCUUUUCUCAUUUUUUUUUAUUUUCUUUUAAAAAACACCAAGAAGCAGGUAGCUAGGACCAUCACUAUGUCUGUCCAAACAUCAAAUGCCCCUUUCUUUCUUUUUCUUCUGCAAAACGGCCAAAGUACCCAGAUUCUUCUUUUUUAUAAGAAGCUUGCUAAAGACCAAAUACCACACCAACUAACUUAACUACCUCUUAUAUUAUUAGGGUGAUUUUUAGUCACCUCCCUCAAGUGGUGGUAAUGCUUACCACCUUAUUUAUUACCGUUGGAUGAGUUUAAAUUUUGAGAUUUGUGUCUAUCCAAGGUAUUAAACUCAUAUAACGGUGAUAAAUAAAGUAAUGAGCAUUAUUUGAGUGUAGAGAACAAGAAUAUUCCUAUAAUAUUGUAUGCAAAAGGGAAAAAAUUUCCUAAUUGCAAAAGCAAAAUAGAGAGGUAAUAAUUAAAGAGUUUUUAAGCUCUUAAUUAAUGGUAUUUAAUUUGCUUGGUAACGAGAAUUAUUUAGGAGUCAGUCACCUACAACAUGCAUGCAAAUUGGAGGAGACAAUUCAUGGACCAAAUUACAACACCGUAUCCUUUGGAACUUCACUUAUAGCCCCAUGUUCACUUGGAAGACAUGAAAAUUAUGAACAACCAAUUUGAACACAAUUCUCUUUACUUGUAUGGAGGAGUUCAUAUAAGUAACAAUCUGAGAUUAGUCCACUUUCAAUAAACAUGUUCAGUCAACUUGGUGUUUAGAAGAACAUUGCUUAGCUUUAGAUCACAAUGAACUAUCAGUGUUUUGCUAUGGUUAUGAAAAUAAUCCAGUGCAUAAUAGCAACACCAAUAACAAUAUAUAGCCCUUGAAGAAGAUUUUAAAUUCUUGGAUGUAUUGAUUGCUUGCCUCUUCAUUACAGGAGGGGGAUGCAACCACUCCUCUAAGCUCCUUGGGUGCAUCAACUCAUAAACUAGAGCCUUGAAAUCAUCAUUGAGAAAACAUGCAGAUAUGACCUUGACGUGAUUUUGAUGCUUUAUAUUUCUCAAAGCCUCGUAUUCGGCUAUGAAACUCUAUUGUCAGUAUAAAGAACCCCCUUGUAUACAAACUCGAAAUUGCCAACACUAGUCAAAUUAGCUGAAGAAAACGGAUAAGUGGCUUUUGAGAAAUUAGCAUAUGACACUUGCAAGUAGAGCAAGUCCGAAUAUUAAGGGGAUUAUUAAUUUCAAGCUAUAAGCUAAUAUUCUUUUCUCGGAGCUCUUUAGACUUGCAAUUGGGUAGCUUGAGAUAAGGAAUUCCUUUUCAGAAUCUAGUGUUGUCAACAAUUGAAAUGGCACUUUGAUUUUCGAAAACACCUUACACUGAUGGUGGUCAAGUCUGAUAGGAAACUCAACUAUCUUUAUAGCUUCCAAGAUGAUUUUAUUGAAGGUUGAGGGUCUUGAGGUUAUGAAUCUUUCAAAAAUUUGGAAUCUGUAAUAUGAAUAUUCAACAAUUUCGUGGCACGAACUAGACUUUAAUCGAUGUGAAUGUUACACAAAAAUACCAAGUACAAGAAGUAGUAAUACACUCUUCACACAAUGAACCUCAUUGGUGAUUAUUUACUUUGCAAACUUCCACAUCUACUGUGGUAACAAAAAAGCUAGACUUCAUAGGCAAUACACGAAAUUUCUCUAUCACAAAAGCACAUAAAGAAGAGUUUCUAUCCAAGAAAAGUAUUCCUAAUGGAAAGAAGUUCAGAUGCAGCAUCAUUGAUAUUCUUUAGUCGAUCUGUUGCUGAUUCAGCAGAACAAGCAAUUCCAAUUCUAAAUAUCGAACUCAAGCACACCUCAACUUUAUGAAUUCUCGCACUGCAUUGAUUGGGAUUCUCGUUCGUGCCUCCUUGAAGAAGUGGUGCGUCUGCAAUCUCAGUAACUCGUCCGGGGAGAGCCAUUUUGACAAAAUUAUGAAGGUUCAAGCUAUCAACAAAUAUGUUGUCAAUGGGUCUCUUCCCUGUAAACAUCUCCAACAAAAGAAUGCCAAAGCUAUAGACAUCACCAUUUGUUGACAACUCACUCCCCAUGCCAUACUCUACAAUUCAAACAUCACAUUUGUGUAUAAAUAAUGCAGUUUGAAUUUUGUAAUUUAAAUAUUGUAAAAUAAAAAAGGAAAUAUAAUGAAGUAUAUAUCUAGCAUAUAUAGCAUAUAUAUACCUGGAGCUGCAUAACCAACCGUUCCUCUUAUUCCAAUGGAACUUGUUUGAUUUUGAAUUGCUGAAACAUUACUCGUUACUUGUAAGAGAAACCUUGCUAAGCCAAAGUCAGAAACAUGGCCAGUCAAUUCCUUGUCCAAAAGAACGUUGCUUGGCUUGAGAUCACAAUGAACUAUUGGCGUUUCACAAUGAUUAUGAAGAUAAUCCAGUGCACAAGCAACAUCAAUGGCAAUUUCUAGCCUCUGAAGAAGACUUAACUGCUUGGGUACAUGAUCUCUUAACUCUUCAGUUCCAGUAGGUGGAUGCAGCCACUCCUCUAAGCUCCCGUUGUCCAUGAACUCAUAAACUAGAGCCUUGAAAUCAUUACCAUUAAAAUCAACACUUGAACACACGGUUAUAAUCUUGACGAGAUUUCGGUGCCUAAUAUUUCUCAAAGCUUCACAUUCGGCUAUGAAACUCCUCGACGCUCCAUGGCGUAACAAGUUAAACACCUUCACGGCAACAAGUUGAACUUUAUCAUCCUCAUCAAGAACUCCCUUGUACACAUAACCAAAACUUCCAGCACCAAUUAAAUUAGCCUCUAAGAACCCGUCAGUAGCUUUGAGUAGAGUAGCAUAUGACACUUCCAAAAUAGUGUUCCCCAAAGUGCACAAUGAAAUUUCUUUCCUUUUCUUCCUUGAUGAACAAAGAAAGACGUAAGAGAAAACCAUGGCCAUUACUAGAAGAGCAAGUCCAAAUACUAAAGGGAGUAUUAGUUUCAAGCUACGAGACAAUCUUCGUUUCUUGGUCUCUUUAGACUUGCACUUGGGAAGCUUUAAAUUAGCAACAAGGCUGCACAGAUUAGUGUUGCCAACAACUGAAAUAGCACUCGCAUUUUUUAAAACACCUCCAGUUGGUACCUCUCCUCAAAAUUGAUUGAAUGAUAAGUUCAGAUUAUUCAGGAUUCAAGACGGAAUAUUUCCUGAUAAUUUGUUCAUGAAAAUUUCUAAAGCUCCAAGGUUUGAAAGCUUACCCAUGUCAGAGGGGAUGUUACCUGUGAAGCUAUUAUACCCCCAAUGCAACAAUUCCAAGCUCACCAGGUUCCCUAUCCCAGAUGGGAUGCUUCCAUAUAUUUGGUUAUAUUCAACCCAAAACAUUUCAAGUUUGGUUGAGAGAUUGGAUAUUGACAUGGGCAAUGUCCCUCCAAAAUUGUUGUCGCUAAUCAUCAGCCUUCGUAACUGGGUGGCAUUGGUCAAGUCCGAGAGAAAACUUAAGUCACCUUCUUUACCGCUUCCAAUAUUAUUAUCGCCAACGUCAAAAUACAGGAGGUUGUGAAGCUUUUGGAGAUUCGGUACCCGUCCGAUUAGGUUGUUACUCCCAACGUCAAAUACCCAAACACUUGUGACGUUGAAUAUUGAGGGAGGUAUGGACCCAGUGAGUUGGUUUGAGUAGAUGCUCAAGAUUUCGAGAUUAGGAAGACUUUUGCCAAUAUCUGAAGGAAGACUCCCUUGAAUUUGGUUAGUUGCCAUGGAAAUUGCAACAAGAGAAGAGAGGUUAUAGAUGGAGGAAGGGAUGCUACCAGACAUAUGAUUUUCGCCCAAUCCCAAGAAAGUUAAUUUUUUCAAUUGGCCAAGAGAACUGGGGAUGUUUCCCAUCAAGUUAUUACUAACAAGACUUAGUGACCGGAGAGACGAAAUGUUCCCUAAGGAAGGAGGGACCUGUCCCAUUACAUUAUUAUAUUGUAAUGAAAAUUUUUGCAGUUUCGAUAGCAAUCCAAUUUCUGAAGGAAUUUUACCCACCAAUUUGUUGAGAGAGAAAUUCACAUGGAUAAGGUUGAAGCAAUAUGACAUAUUGUGUGGAAUACUGCCACUAAACGAGUUAACGUCUAAUCGCAAUACCUGCAACCUACGCAAAUUCCCAAUUUGUGGAGGAAUUUCAUGACUGAAGUUGUUGUUUUGCAGCGACAGCUCCCUUAGAAAACUUAGAUUUCCAAUGUUUGGGGAUAGUUUCCCUACCAGAUUUUGAGAUUGCAGGUCCAGGUUAGUGACCCUUUGGCGAUGUCGUCGACUGCAUGUCACGCCAUGCCACAUGCAAAAGUGCGUGGAUUCGUUCCAGGAGCUCAUCACGUUGUAAUUAUGGAGAUCUUGCUUUAUUUGAGCUUUGAUGGCAAGCAGGGCCAGCCUAUCCGUCGCAUUCCCUCCGAGUCCCGAUUGCAGGGAGCUCCAACAGCAAACGAACACUGCACUGAAAAGCAAAUAUAUUAAGAUCAUUUUCAAAACCAAAACCCCCAUUCCUGAUCUGGUUAACUAUAUAACUAGAGAGAGAUGCAGAAAGAAAUAGAGGGAUGGGUGUCGAGUUGUGAUAUUGGUGAGUUCCAUUUGUUGCUUGACAAGGAAAUUUAUAGAAGGAUAGGAUCAUAGGAGGAACUUUCACCACAGUUUCUGGUUCUUGAAAUUCAAAUAUGAAAAAGAAUAAGUCCAAGUAAAUGAUAACAACUUUGGCUUGUUUUUUUAGACGACUUCACUAGCUUACUUCCACUACUGGGACCUAUUGUCUGGCACUUUUGGUACACCAGGGACCAAGACCAUUAAAGCACCUUGACUCCAGAAGUUAAAAAAAAUUGAAGGUAGACUGGUCGAUAAUAUUCUUGAGUCGAGAAAAGAACAAAUACAUGGAAUCCUAUAUUUUGGUUACAUCAGACGUCACGCUGGUGUCAAUAUGAAAGUUACCUUGCUAGGCGACCCUAGCUAUGAAUGAAAAUUUUGAAGUCUCUACGUUUUUUGAGGGGUUGGACUGUGAGAUUGCUGAUUUUCUCAUAGUUCCCCUAAAGUACCAUUGUAAGAAAGCUUGGUGUGGAUGCAACCUUUCUAAAAAUUGUAACAGUUACUAGUGAUGUCUAAUAUCAAGAUAAGUAAAGAAUUAUUCUAUUUUUGAAUAAUUGGCUACUUUCCUGUAGCCAUGUGCAUUGGUUUGAUGCAUUAAACAAGAGCAUUUCCUUUUGUUAUUCAUCCAUGUGAAGCUAAGUCAGAUCCAUUGCAUAAAGUGAAGAUGUCACGCACUGUGCAAGGCUACUUUAUGAUGACCCUUUACUUCAACAACACCUGGAAGUUAGUUAUUUUGUCAUUUAUAUAUAUCUAUUUUUUUAUGAUAGAACAUUUUUAAUGUGACUUGUGUGGUAAACGAGUUAUUAAUUAAACAUUGCGGUGAACAAUGUCCGCAAUUAUGAUCAAAAUUGAAAAUUUUCGUUAUGUCAAACUUAACUGUCGGUAUGACUUAUAGGGUUGGAGAGAAAUUGGGAUUCGAUGGAAACUAAGAAGCUUGAAGCUCAAAUUGACGACGUCCCUAGCUAGCUACUUUGAAUUCCUUUUUCUGGAACCAUUGCCUAGAUUAGAUCUCUUGAUAACAGCAGCAUGCACAUACAAAAUUACCAUGGAUCAUUGAGGAGGGCUAUAUAACCACAUCCCAAAGCCUACCUUCAAAACUUCUUCAAUAUUUACCCGUCUUGCAGAACCCAUUAGAAUUAUGUUUAAGGGGAUUAAUCAUGCAAACACUGGCUCGCUCUGGAGCAUAUAAAUAAAGGAAAACUAAUUAAAAAGGUUUGAAAAUUUUGAGUUUUAACGAUAAGGACAAAAUAAAGGGUAAAGUGAAUAGUAGCAUGUUUGACUUUUUAGUAUAAAAAUGUGGUUUUUCGUUAAAAUGAACAGUAUCGUGGGCUUUUCGUUAAAACUCCCAAUUAAAUAAAUCUAUUCAAUUCAAAAGCUCCUUAGUUGUGAUUGAUUAUAUCAGGCCGACAAACACCAUAUAUCCUCAUGUUCUAGGCUUCGCGUUAAAUCAAUUGUUUAAAUGACGAUUUUAACCUCUUUAGGACUAAUGGAAAAUUUUGAUAUGGACUGUAAUUGUCGAUGGAGUUCACUACAAAUGCUUAAUUAACUACUUUUUGACCACAAAGGUCAUAUUAAAAUGCUUUAUCACCACGUAAAAAAAUGGCUAUAUAUGUAUGUGUGUGAAAAGAAUGGUACAUUCCUCUACAAAGUUAAUAAUCAUAGUACACCAUUGGCAUUUUUAUUGAAAAGUAAUAUAGAAGUAAAAAGUGAGACGGAAUGAGAAUCAUGAUAAUGGCAUGUAAAGUGUGAAGAAAAAGGAGAACGUGGAUUCGUUCUCUGUUUUUUUUUACUUUUAAGCUUUUUAGUCCUUGAUGCUUUCUUGAAGUGCAUAGUAUCCACAUAAUUUGUGAAAUACUUAGAACAUUUACUUUUAAAAACUUUCCGCAGUAGGGCAGAUGACGCUUUAUUGCAAUGAUUGAAAAUAAUAUUGUCAAUUUAUCUUGGUGUGAGUUCGAUCCUCACCGAUCUCUUUCCUCCUCUCACAUUUAACUAUCUAACUGUUUAGACCUAAAAUUACACCAUCGGCCCGUACAAUCAAGGCUGUUGAAGUGAACAUAGCUCUCGAUUAUUGGAUCAAGAAAUAAAGGUCAUUAUUAAAAGAUAAUGAUUUUUAAAGUUAUGAUUUUAUCAUAAUUAUCUUUUAAUAAUGAUUUAUUAUGAAAGAUGAGAUAUAUAUCUGGAAGUAUGACGGCACAACUGACGUGUGAAAUGUGUGGAUAGGAUUGGAUUGAAGUGACAACCAUCAAGAUGCAUGCAUGGAUGAGUUUAAAUCAUAGGAAACCUAGGUAGACCAGGCUUUUUACUUGGUGAUGGAUGUGGCAGACAUGCCGUGGGAAUGACUAAUAUAUAUUUAUAUAUAUAUAUGGUGGCCGUACUUUUUGGCAAUCUGCAUGCCGUGGGAAUGACUAAUAGAUAUAUAUAUAUAAUUGGUGGUUGUUUACAGAAGGUUAUCCAAGUCACGUCAGAUACAUAGGAAUUUGAAAUAGACCAAACUGCAUGCCGUGGGAAUGACUAAUAGAUAUAUAUAUAAUUGGUGGUUGUUUACAGAAGGUUAUCCAAGUCACGUCAGAUACAUGAGAAUUUGAAAUAGGACUCUACUCGAGAAUCAGGUCGUGCUAAGCAAUUACAUCAGUCCUAUAAAUACAGAUGCAAUAGCAACGGAAGAAGGACCUCCAAUUCAACACACAACUGUCCUGCGCAAACUCUCUCAACAACUUUGAGAUUUUUAUUUUCUCUUUUCGCUGACACAUCUUCCGUUGGCAUCAACAGCACUGUGAAAGCAACCAGUGAUAUCUUAAGUCGGCAUAGAUAGCUCUAUCACCGUAGAGUCAGCCGAUCUCACAGCAUCUUUCGUUGGCAUCAACAGCACUGCGGCGAGGACAGCUGGUUACCUAUCCAAGUCUCGGUCGAGAAGGAUUGCCAAAUCCUUAUUGGUCGAGGUCAUCUUAUCAGCCUUCUCGGCGAAGUGAGGUGUUACGAGUUACUACAUUCGGCACAUUGAAAGCCGAAUUUGAUAUUGAACUUCGCAGAACUAGCAGCCUUGUCUUCAGGCUCUAGAACCCAAGAGGGCGAGACGUGUUCCUUCCUCGGUCGCAAUCGCGAGACGCAGAAGUCAGCAGCGCACCCAACGUAACAUCAACAUAUUUACUCCUCGGUCGACGAGUUGGCACGCACCGCAUACAACCGAAGGACGUAGUUAGCUUAUUAAUUACUUGGCCUGCGCGCUACGUAAGCUUGGUAGUUUUUAGGGUCAACACUAACAUACUAAUACUAUUGUUUGUCGAAAAAAAAAAACUUGCAUGUAGCAAUUUUCUAUGUAUCAUUAUCAAUUGGUUCAAAUUUGCUAUCAACUAAAGUCAAACUUAAGACGUCUCAAAUUACAAUUAAAAUAAAAAGAAAUAUCAUUAAAUCUUAGUACUAAAUGACAUCAUUACCAUAUUGUUUCAUACACAGGUUUAUUGAAGAGAAACAAAGAUAAAAGAAAGAAAUGGUUUUAAAAAAAGGUUAAUAGAUAAAAGGUUAACAUUACAUUAACAUUGUCAAGAAACAAGAAGAUUAAGAGACACCACGAGCAAAAGCCCCAUAUAACCCACAUAGUUUCACAGUAUUUGGAGAAUAAUUGUUUGAAUUUUGUAGAUUUAUUUUGAAAUGUUGGACCCAUUUGUGAUUUGGAUAAAUGAGUUUAAUCUUCUAAAAUAUGUAAUUACCAUUUCGUAGUAUUUUACUGGAAAUUUUUUCAUAUUUCAUAUGGUGAAUUAAGAAGAGAUUGUACUAAAAUUAUCUAGAGUGAGAGUGGCACAUUUUGUGGACCCCACUACCACGUGGCAGCAAUAAGACUUGCCAGCUCCCGGACACGUAUCACACUACUUCUGCUUCCCCUUGUGACAUGGUGCAAUCCUAUUGUGUUGUGAGUUGUAACGGGCAAAAACAAACCUGAAUCACAUCUUCUCCUCGGUGGAGGCCGGAAGCCAAGAAGGAGGCAUCCUCCUCUUACUCUUGUAAAAUUCAUCUUAGUUCAGAGGUUGCUAUGAUACACCGUUUUUUACUACGUGUUCGUGAGAUCGAGCUUUACGAAAUGAGGUAAAUUAUUCUAGAUAUUGAGCUGGUUUCGAGAUGUCUUUAAUUUUGAGUUUUUUUUAUUUUUUUUAAACAUCCCUAAUUUUGAGUUUAUAAUCUAAUUAACCUUUGAAUUCACGGUUUCUAGUUCUCGUUUGGUAAAAUGUGACUAUUUGGAGAUUACUUAGAGGAUUGAAGAUCAUUUUGGGGCGUGGCGGAUAAUGGUGUCAGGUAUGGGAUUCUGCUAUCCUAAAAACAAAAGGGUAUUUCCAAUCCAUCUUGAAAAACUUUGAAAACGAAGAAGUUUUUAUUUUCAAAAACUAGUGGGCAGGUGAAAAGAGAGUUUUCAAUGAGUUCGGUCGUUGAACUGCCAUCUCGUUGUGUAGACAUCAAUGAUUACAAAAAGGUAAACAAGUUUCAUUUGAAGUUUCAAUUUUGCUACUAGAAAUUCUAGUCUUUUUCGUCCCGUUACGGGUUAAUGUGCACCGGCAUCGCACGGAUUCACUUGUCCGAGCACAUCGACUGCAAUUAAAGAAAAUUUUAAAAUGACUAGUCUAAAUUUCUAAUGGUAGUUUUAUUCUCAAUGAUGGAAGAAGUACUGAGUUUAGUUCCAUCAUUCCUAUUUGAUCUAUAUAUAUAUAUAUAUAUAUAUAUAUAUAUAUAUAUAUAUAAAUUAGAACCAUACGAGUACAACCACGCUAACCGAAAUAAUUUAUGCACACUUUUUUUCUUCUGCUUAUGCAAAACCACUAUAUAUUUUGUUCAUUGAUUUUAUUUUAUUUAUUCAAUCCAAAUAGUAAAAACAAAGCCACAUGAGUUUUUUUUAGUACAACGAAAUAAUAUAUUUUACAUUAAAGAAGAGAGUUUGGUUAAACUACACAUAUUAUGGUAAAGAAAUGUAAAAAAUAAAGAAGAAUGUGCGAGAGAAGAAACAAGGAAGGGAAACUCAUUACGGAAUUUUGUUAUACACACUUCCAAUUGUGCUGGUUGGAUCAGAGAUUUUUUCUGAAUUAUUGAACACCAAAAAAAUCAGAGUCGAAACAAAAAAUAAAAACAGAACACAGAAACUUACCGACAGUCACACAUAAACACAGAGAUAUUGAAACAGGAACUCCAACUACCAACCGUCCGAUUUCUCCCUCUUUUUUUUUUUUUUUUUGUGGCAUUUCGUUCUCCUCCAAUGGCUUUCAGCACCUCAACUCACUCUUUCUUCAACUUCAAACUCUCCAGCAAAACUGCACCACCACUUCAUCAGCCAAAGAAGAAACCAGUGACCCUUCUCCUCAAUCCCCGUUUUGCCCCGCCCCUUCUCUCAUCUUGUAACCAUUGCUUCAGGGCCAACUCUGUCACU
rnacentral:lncRNA from 1 species